rnacentral:rRNA from 1 species
AGUGAACGCUGGCGGUAGGCCUAACGCAUGCAAGUCGAACGGCAGCACAGUAAGAGCUUGCUCUUACGGGUGGCGAGUGGCGGACGGGUGAGGAAUACAUCGGAAUCUACUUUUUCGUGGGGGAUAACGUAGGGAAACUUACGCUAAUACCGCAUACGACCUACGGGUGAACGCAGGGGAUCUUCGUACCUUGCGCGAUUGAAUUAGCCGAUGUCGGAUUAGCUAGUUGGCGGGGUAAAGGCCCACCAAGGCGACGAUCCGUAGCUGGUCUGAGAGGAUGAUCAGCCGCACUGGAACUGAGACACGGUCCAGACUCCUACGGGAGGCAGCAGUGGGGAAUAUUGGACAAUGGGCGCAAGCCUGAUCCAGCCAUACCGCGUGGGUGAAGAAGGCCUUCGGGUUGUAAAGCCCUUUUGUUGGGAAAGAAAAGCAGCAGGUUAAUACCCCGCUGUUCUGACGGUACCCAAAGAAUAAGCACCGGCUAACUUCGUG